GUGCCAGCAGCCGCGGUAAUACGUAGGGGGCGAGCGUUGUCCGGAAUUACUGGGCGUAAAGGGUGCGUAGGCGGCCCUUUAAGUCAGAUGUGAAAGCCCGCGGCUUAACCGCGGAACUGCAUUUGAAACUGGAGGGCUUGAGUGUCGGAGAGGGUAGUGGAAUUCCCAGUGUAGCGGUGAAAUGCGUAGAUAUUGGGAGGAACACCAGUGGCGAAGGCGACUACCUGGACGAUAACUGACGCUGAGGCACGAAAGCUAGGGGAGCAAACAGGAUUAGAUACCCUGGUAGUCCUAGCCGUAAACGAUGGGUACUAGGUGUAGGAGGUUUCGAUACCUUCUGUGCCGCAGCAAACGCAUUAAGUACCCCGCCUGGGGAGUACGUGCGCAAGCAUGAAACUUAAAGAAAUUGGCGG
rnacentral:rRNA from 1 species